ACGAUUGCCUUAUUGUCAGCG
rnacentral:misc_RNA from 1 species